rnacentral:rRNA from 1 species
UACGGGGGGAGCAAGCGUUGUUCGGAAUUACUGGGCGUAAAGGGCUCGUAGGCGGCCAACUAAGUCAGACGUGAAAUCCCCAGGCUCAACCUGGGAACUGCGUCUGAUACUGGAUGGCUUGAAUUUCGGGAGAGGGGAUGCAGAUUCCAGGUGUAGCGGUGAAAAUGCGUAGAUAUCUGGAGGAAAUACCCGGUGGCGAAGGCGGCAUCCUG